rnacentral:misc_RNA from 1 species
UGGCAUUAGAGAUUUCCAUACUUUUCCCAUCAUGAAUCUUUCCAUUAUCGUCUCCGCUUCCAUCGUUCUCGUUCUCUCCAUUCUCUUGCUUCCAUUUUCUCCCUUCGACUUACCCAAACAUUUCGUGUUAAGAAGAUCAUCGACAUCAACGUCCAGAGAAUUAAUGGCGGAUAUGAUAGUGCACAAUGGGGUUAUUUUCACCAG